UCCACGCUGGAUGAGACAUUAAAACAUAAAAGAAAAUCGAGAUUGAAGUCACGGCAUAAUACUUUUGCCCUCGAUGAAUAUUUUCCGUCGCGAUGAGAAAACAAUUACUGUGUCGUCCUAGAACGACAGCAUCGGAAAAGUUAUUUUCUAACGUGAUGCCGGAAGGAAGAAUAUCGGAUUUCCUUUGGAUGCUUCGAGCUGUUCUCUACGUUUAUAUGCAGAAAUAGCCCGCCUUGGAAAAGUCAGAGGUUAUAUAGAAGUAACUACACGCUACUAUAACUCCAUGUUAUACCAUAAAGAGCAUAGAACAAUCACGACGAGCGUGAGCGGAGUUCAUGGCUUUUUUGCAGUAUACCACCAACUGUGACUAUUCUCGAGGCAAGGAAUCACGAUGAGAUGGAAAAAUAUCGCAAGCGGUUUACAACACAAAAACGUUUUAGAGAGUGAGAUGUCUGGAGACACGAUGGAUUAAUACCUAAAGAUGUAGUAAUGAGUCUCCGAAUCUAAAGCGUGGACAAGUGAAGAGAGAGAGAGAGAGAGAGAGAGAAAGAAAUAGAAGAGGGAAGAAACAUUGGAUGCUUUUAACGGAAAGAACGACGGAAGAUGAGAAGAUGUUGCGCGGCUCGAAUAUUCGUAUUCACUGGACCAACUACGUUUCAGUCUUAGUCUCGGUUGCUAUUCAACGAAAGUCGGAAGAUAGGACGAGUUAAUUCAUUUAAUUACCGUCAUUAUCCAGUUUAGUAUUCCUACGUUUAUACGUUUACAUUUAACGCAGGAUACGAAAGUGCCGUAUGAAAAAAUUAUACAGGUCAAAAUAUUUUUACGUGAUUCUACAUCGAGAAAAAGAAUUUAAAUGUCAAUAUAAUGUAUAAUAUAUAUAUAUACAUAUAUAAAAGAAACAGUUAAGAAAAAUCCAUUGUUCUUGUAAUUUUUCUAUUCGUAUGAAUACUAUUUGAAUGUCUUAAGUACAUUGAGUACUUAUCUCUGCAUAAAUAGAAAGGAAAAAGGGGUAGAAAAAGAAAAAAUAGUC